rnacentral:rRNA from 1 species
AGACUUUGAUCAUGGCUCAGAACGAACGCUGGCGGCGUGCUUAACACAUGCAAGUCUAGGGGAAUUCGCUUUCGGGCGAUAGUACACUGGCGAACGGGUGAGUAACGCGUGAGAAACCUACCCCGGAGAUUGGGACAACACAGAGAAAUUUGUGCUAAUACCGGAUAAGCCCACGGGUUUAGUUAUUUGUGGGAAAAGACGGGGCAACCUGUCGCUUUGGGAUGGUCUCGCGUGUCAUUAGCUAGUUGGUAGGGUAACGGCCUACCAAGGCAACGAUGACUAGGCGGCCUGAGAGGGUGGCCGCCCACACUGGAACUGAGACACGGUCCAGACUCCUACGGGAGGCAGCAGUGGGGAAUUUUGCGCAAUGACCGAAAGGUUGACGCAGCAACGCCGCGUGUAUGAUGAAGGCUUUCGGGUCGUAAAGUACUUUCAGUGGGGAAGAACUGCAUAAUCAGUAACUGGGUUAUGAUUGACGGUACCCACAGAAGCAGCCCCGGCUAACUCCGUGCCAGCAGCCGCGGUAAUACGGAGGGGGCAAGCGUUGUUCGGAGUCACUGGGCGUAAAGAGCUCGUAGGCGGCAGUGUAAGUC